rnacentral:miRNA from 1 species
UUCACAAGGUUUCCUCAAGAUC